CUGACGCUAAAGCUCGAAGGUGCGGGUAUCGAACAGGAUUAGAUACCCUGGUAGUCCGCACGGUAAACGAUGGAUGCCCGCUGUUUGCGAUAUACUGUGAGCGGCCAAGAGAAAUCGUUAAGCAUCCCACCUGGGGAGUACGCCGGCAACGGUGAAACUCAAAGGAAUUGACGGGGGCCCGCACAAGCGGAGGAACAUGUGGUUUAAUUCGAUGAUACGCGAGGAACCUUACCCGGGCUUGAACUGCCAGUGAACGAUACAGAGAUGUUGAGGCCCUUCGGGGCGCUGGUGGAGGUGCUGCAUGGUUGUCGUCAGCUCGUGCCGUGAGGUGUCGGCUUAAGUGCCAUAACGAGCGCAACCCUUUUCAUUAGUUGCCAUCAGGUGAUGCUGGGCACUCUGGUGAUACUGCCACCGUAAGGUGUGAGGAAGGUGGGGAUGACGUCAAAUCAGCACGGCCCUUACGUCCGGGGCUACACACGUGUUACAAUGGGAGGUACAGAGAGUCGGUGCAUGGCAAUAUGCAUCUAAUCCUAAAAGCCUUCCUCAGUUCGGAUUGGGGUCUGCAACCCGACCCCAUGAAGCUGGAUU
rnacentral:rRNA from 1 species